AGCGAACGCUGGCGGCAGGCCUAACACAUGCAAGUCGAACGAACUCUUCGGAGUUAGUGGCGGACGGGUGAGUAACACGUGGGAACGUGCCUUUAGGUUCGGAAUAACUCAGGGAAACUUGAGCUAAUACCGGAUGUGCCCUUCGGGGGAAAGAUUUAUCGCCUUUAGAGCGGCCCGCGUCUGAUUAGCUAGUUGGGGAGGUAAAGGCUCACCAAGGCGACGAUCAGUAGCUGGUCUGAGAGGAUGAUCAGCCACAUUGGGACUGAGACACGGCCCAAACUCCUACGGGAGGCAGCAGUGGGGAAUCUUGCGCAAUGGGCGAAAGCCUGACGCAGCCAUGCCGGGUGAAUGAUGAAGGUCUUAGGAUUGUAAAAUUCUUUCACCGGGGACGAUAAUGACGGUACCCGGAGAAGAAGCCCCGGCUAACUUCGUG
rnacentral:rRNA from 1 species